GAUAGGCAGUGCGCUCGCGAGCUACCCUGAUCUUCUCGCUACGUAUUUUGGACAAGCAGUGCGCUUGCAAGCAAGACUGUUUUUUUCUGUGUGUUUUGCACAUACGAUGCGCUCGCGCUGUACGAUGUUUUAAACGUGUGUUUGGAAUAGCCAGUGUGGGUCGACGACAGUAGCUUGUGAUGUUUUUUUUGUUUAAUAAAAAACGUUAAUUUGAGUUUUAGUUUUAACCGCAAUAAAAAUAUUUGAUUUUUUUACAUGCGGCUAUUUACAUUCCGUAUAAGCCCAACAGUAUUAUAGAUUUAGAUUUUUUGUUUCUCGGGGCAACUAGCUUCAAACGAGCUUUUUUUAUAUUUUUCUAUGCGAGCGGGCGAAUCAUAUUUUUCUGGAAUGAAGAGCGGCGAGCGCCCGCUCACUAAUGGGAGCGAGCGAACCUUAUGAUUCCCGCUCUUCUUGCCCAUGUCUAAUAGCGACCCUCUCCAUUAAUGCAUACGCCUUUUGACGAUAUUGCAGGUCUGUUUGAUUCCAAUAAUAAACAUCAACAAAAACACACACAAACGCGUACGCGCAACCAUAAAAACUACCUUCUUCUUCUUUUUGGCUCAACAACCGUUGUCGGUCAAGGCCUGCCUGUACCACUUGUGGGGUUGGCUUCCAGUGACAUUAUGGGUUAGGGUUCGAGGCUUUUGAAAUUUUAUUUAUUACCACGCAGCAUAAUAGUCAAUCCUUGCCACGGAGGGAAGGUCCAUUCUAGGCUUGAACCCGUGACGGACAUAUUAUUAAGUCGUUCGAGUUGAUGACUGUACCAUGGGAAAUCCUCCCCCCCCCCCCCCCCCUACUAGCAUUUAAGACGUAGAUAUUCCCAAGUAGCAGAGCCGAAGUUGCUCAGAGAUUUUUCUGUGUGCCAAAGCGAGAUGCCCUGUCUUCUUUCUCCAGAUUUUGGACAGCAAACUGCCGCGCGUGUAGAGGUGUGUGCGUGUGACAAAAAUGAUGGAUGAAAAACGCGAGGAGCGGGGUCUGAAGUCUUUCGUUGGUCACACACAUAUGCAUCUACCAGCGGAUUAAGCUUCACCGAGUCUACCCAUCUCUCUCGAUCUACCAUGAUUUUUUCUGCUAUCGCACUCAUCCGGGUGUUAAGCAUCCUCAGUCUAUCCUGAACUUUCGUUGUGGAAGGAUGUGCGGGAGUGAUGUGCGAUUUCUUGUGUCCCCUACUUUCCUUGUUUACGUUUUGCCCAGUGUUGCUUCUUCUUCCAUUGUGGAAUGAUUUAUCCUAGCUAACUUGUUGAGUUACAGGUGCAUGCGCCAUUCAUCAACGCCUACGUGUUGGCAUCAUCAACAAUCUUCAAAGUGGGUGACGGAAAGAAAUUGUUUUCCAGUUUUAAAAUAUUAAGCUCUGAUGGUACCCCGGACGCGGUAAGAAGAAAAAAGAUCGAGAGUAGGAAGAACGGUAAAUUUGGAAGGGGGAGACCGUUCUGCCGUCUACACAGUGUGAGUAUGCCAAAGCACGUGUUGGAACGGAGCGAAAAAGUUGGAAUAAACCGCAUGCGAAUGUGUGCAUACAGCAAAUGUAAGCAUGUGUGCCUCAUCCUUUCUAUAAGCAAUCCGAAAAGGGGGUGGAGCAAACACAUUGGUAUGCGUGAGGUGCAGAAGAAAUCAGAGCGUGAUAGUAUGUGUGAACGCGAUCGUUCGGGUGGAAGGUGUCUAUGUGUGCGUGAAACCACAUUUACACUUCUACUGCAAGUGGGUACGUAAGUGGGUACCCAACAGUCAAAAGCCGAAGAUUUUAUAUUGACCUUUCACUUUUUCUAUCUGUCUCUCGCUCUAAAUUGAGCGAUUUUCCCCUGAUGAGUGUCCCCGAGCCUCCUCGUGUGGUUGUUGUUGUUGGAAGUUGAAGCCGAACCCCCUUCGUGCGCUGCCAAAAUCAGCGAAGAACGAAAUCGAGUGGCUCAAGCGAAAGAACGAAAAAAAUGAUGAGCGAGUGUGCUGUGACAAUAACACACACGCACGCACAAGGCGACACCCGAAAUCUGGUGCGAUACCGGCUUUCAGUGGAGCAAGUACACACAUGCACACAUUUGGCCACACCAGCGCUCUGUUCUAGUGCAGGUAGUUUUCUGCAGUCCACGGUGAUACUACACACAGCCACGCACUUGGCGAUACACGCUGUGUGGUGGACGUUCAGAAUUCAGUGGUGCAAAUACACACAUGCAUACACUUGGCGACACACGCUCUGCUGUGCGGUGAGAUUUGUGUUCUGUGUCCAGUGGUGCAAAUAUACACACACACGCACUUGGCUACACACGCAGUACGGCGCGGUUGGCUUGGCAGAAGCGCAUACACAAAUUCACGCAGUAGGCUUCACUUUCAGUCCAGUGAGGUUGGUGCUUGUGUGGUGUUUCAGCGCUUGGCGGGUAAACCCCGUAAAAAAUGGAGUUUUGUUUAAUUUGAGGUAAGUAAAAGUGAUUAAAAUUAUCAACCAACAUCCCCCCUUCUAAUUAAUAUAAUUUUUCUUCCAUUUCAUGUGUUUUUCACCGCGAACGGAGACAACAAAACCUGUGUUUGUGAUGUGCAAAUGUUGGUGCAAAUGACGGGUACAGUGGAAAGAUGACAACCAUGAUCAACAGCGGUGGAGUGCAGAAAGUACGGUGAAAAUGUUGCGUUUUAUUCACGGAACAGUUGAUAAAAGUGUUUUUAAUAUAAUGUGCCAUAAUUUGUGUAAUUUGCGAAGUGUUGACCGUGUGUGAAAUAGUUGUUAGUGCGUCUCAUUAAACCGAUUUAUUUGCUUAAAUAAAUCAAGUUGUUCUACUA